rnacentral:lncRNA from 1 species
GGGGCGGGAGGGGGGGGGUGGGGGCGGGUGAAGGGGGGGUGGGGGAAGGUGAGGAUGCCCCCGGGGGGGGUCGGUCAGGUCAGCUCAUUCCCCGCUGGGAAAUAAGGGGGGUGGGGUCAGAGCUGAGGGGCCCCUCUUUCUUCCCAGGUGUGUUAUCAGAGAAUGCUGAGGGUGGGCAGAGAGGAGGGGAGGGCAGCGGGGAGGGCACCUUGAACUCGAUCAGCAUGGGGUCGUUGCUCUGCCGCAGGUGGGUCAAAUCCAGACGCCUCUGAUAAUCUUUGAGCCGCUAGGGGCAGGGAAGGGAGGGUCACUAGCUUCCACAGACCUCUGCACACGCACACCCUCCCGCCCUGGCCCAGGGCCCUGUGCAGCUCACCAGCAGGUCCUCCAUGUCCCGCACGGCAAGGUUGACGUGUUGCAGAAUUUCCCGGCAGCACUCGGCCGCCCGCUCCACUUUCUCCCGUUCCACUGACUCUUCUGUGGGCAAAGGGGGAGACCGGCCCCGGGGUGAACAGCAUGGUCUGGCCAUCGGGUGUGGGUGUCAGCGUCCGGCUGUGCGACUUAAGCAAGAGCCGCUCGUCCGGUGGGGCCGCUCUCUCUACCUGUGUUCUGCCCGAUGCUCUGCAGAAGCAGGGGGUACUUGGUCAGACGCUGCAUCUCCGUGGGGAUCAUGUCCUUCAGCUGCAGCCGGCGGCACCGGGGCCGGCUCUCGGCGUCCUGCAGGAACAGCAGCUCUGAGACACCAGGACACCGGCCCCCCUCCCUGGGGACCCUGGAGCCCGGACCACCUCCCACCCCACCUCACCUGCACGAAGGUACAGAACCGGGGCUCCUUGCGCUGUUUGGCUUUGAGCUGCUCUAAGGCGAAUGACUGGUGGCUACAGAAGCGGGAGGAGAUCUUCUGGAACCACGAGCCCUCAGGACCAUCGAACUACAGCGAGAGGCAGGCCAAGGAGGGUGUUUCAGGUGGGCUGGAGGACAGGGCUAGAGCCCCAGAGGAGAUCAGCCUCUUCUUGGUGAUGUCUAGGCUCUGGAGGCAGGAAGGAAGGGGUGAUGGCCGGUGA